CUUGGUUUAAAAAAGCGACCGUUUUUAGCGCCAUGGCGCUAAGCGCCACCAAGCGAGGACCUCAUCGCCAAGGGACCCCAUUGCCAGGCGAGGUACACAAAGCGAUGGUAAAAUGGCGCCAUGGCGCUGGGCGCUAAGCUCCAGCCUCCUCGCUUCGUCUCGCCUUGCGCCAUUUCAAACCUCUUUCUACAAGAUUCAAGUUUGUUUUUACUAGGAAACUUUUUGAAAAAUGUAAGAGACACAAUCUUAUUGGGCCACUAUAGGAGGUCCUUCUUCUCGGUGGCUUUGGUCCUGUGGUGACUCCAUUGAUUGUGCUACACAAAGGUUCUUCCUUGAUUUGACAUGCAUAAUUGUUCUAAGAUGUUUUGGGUUUCUUUUGAUCUUCAUCUACUUGAUUUUGUUUUGGGUUUUGUUGUCUUUUAGUUCAUCUAUUUUUAAGUUGAUUCCCAUUUAUGGGUUUAUGACUCUGGGGACUGGUGAGUUUUGUCCGCCGGCUUUGACUCCGAGUUACUUCUAUUGCCGGCUUAUUUAAUAUGUUUCAGUUAAA